CUCAAAUAUAUAAUAAGAAAAUAUAUACUGAUAAACAUUUUCAGUUCAUUGAUAGCUAUAUAGUAGUUAUUAAGUGUUACUUGAGGCUCUAGAGAGAGAGUAAAAGAGAAAAGCAGUAUGCUGGAGAUGGAGGAGAGUGAAAAGAUCUUCCCAUAACAGUGAUAAUUAAUUUGCAUACUAUUGCAUUUUGAAAUACAGGCUGAUUUUUUAUAUAUUUUUCAACCCUGAUGUACAACUUCAGAAGCCUGCUAUUGAUAAUAUAAGACUUCUGCACCCUUGUAAUUAUAUAUUAAGCAUAUAUUUCUUUUUCAUUUGUUAAGCUCUGGCUUUUUUACUACAUUAGUUCUUGUACUGCUGUUAUUAAUUAGUAGCACCACAGGUGCUCAUGGGACUCAGUAGAAGUCAGAUGCAGUUGGUGCCACUUGGGGGUGCACUGUGGGCUUCAGUCCAAUGCAGCGGCUGUGUGGGGAUGACUGUGAUGCAAAGGGAAUCUCCAGCCUGAAGGAAUGGGCCCACUUGCACUUUCUUUUUACAGCACUUAAGGUAUGCAUGCCAGAGAAAGAAAAUGAAAAAGGGCCCAUACUGAGAUGCUGAAGGACCUUGUUCCCAGAAUAGAGUUACCUGAGCAGGGGAUGCAACAGGCUGAAACAAAAGCCAGGGAUUCCUCCUUUUGUCUUGAGAUUGUGGAGGGAGGACUGCCCAAGUAACACAACUCUGAACGGGAUUGGAAAGCAGGAAAGAGGUGAAACAGGAGAGCUCAGCACCUCCUUCUUGGCCCUGGUGAUGUUAGUGAGGCAGAGGAGAGAGAAAGCCUCUGCUUUUGUUCAGUGGUUUGGCUCAGGCGCAGGAUGGAGGCUGGGCGAAGGCUGUGCUUCCUGCAGGGCUGGGGGAGCCAUGCUCUGUGGCCUUUGUGAGACACAGCAGGUGUGAUGGGAAGGUCCUCUCCCCACAUGAAUGCACAUGAGGAUGCUGAUGCCCCUGCUUCUUUCACGGCUGUUCUGGGAACCAGAGUGAAGCCACAUUUCCCAACAGCAGGCCAGUAAUUCCUGGAAACAAGUAUGCAGGAAGGGGCUGUGGAGCGAGAAGGGGAUGGCUGGGGAAUAGCUCUGCAGGAUGACUCCUUAUCUAGAAUUGUCCAUUGACGGAUAUAGGGUUUCAUCCCACAAGGCGUUCAACAUCUCCGGAGAGACCUAAAACUGGUAUCCUAACUACUUUUCUGUGUGAAAGGUUGAUCUGGCCAGAAAAUCUCUCUAAAUACUUCAGUUGAAAGGGACUACGUAAGCUUUUUACAAAAUUAUCACAGUACACACAGGCCCCUCUUAUUCACAUCGCAGUUGCUCGCUCG
rnacentral:lncRNA from 1 species